AACUGAUUUUAUGUUAAAAACAGACUUUUCUACUUUAUUAAAGAUUUGUUAGAACAUUGAGCUCCAUUCAUCAAUAAUUUGGCUCCACUCUUGCCACCUUUUGCAAAGUAUCUGCAGGCCUCCUGGCACUUGGGAAUGAUGCUGGGCUGGCUACAUAGUGAAUACUGAAGGAGACCCCCUAUCAUGUUCUUACUGAAGGAAGUGUGACAUAGUGUGAAUCUGUGUCUAGCUAUCUAUGGAAAUUUCACUAAUAGAAAUUUUAAAAAAUGAAAGAAGUUCGACUGGUCUUCUGUACGGAGGAAUUGACAAGAUUUCUCAUCUCUUCUGAAUUUUGGCCUUGUCCUGAUUUCUGAAAACUACCAUCUGAUCAUCCUCAUUUUCUACCAUUGAGAUCAUAGAAACACACGAAAGCGUGAGUUCGUUCUGCUGCUGUACUAUCGUCGUACUUGUCAUGCUUGGCAGCCAUGUUAUAUUUGGGCAGAAAUCCCAUCAGGACUAAUGCAACAAACCAACUAAGUAAGUAAGUAGAUGUAAAAAUGAUGCUAGAAUAACCAUAAAUGAUAAAUCCUAUAAAACAAAUAGCCCUUAAUAAAUUAAACAAUUUUACUUUAUAAAGAUUAAAG
rnacentral:lncRNA from 1 species